rnacentral:lncRNA from 1 species
UGGCAAUUUCCGACACCGGAUCUAGCCUCACGCGCCACCUGUGACAUCACACGCGCCGCCGCUGUCGGACAUGCGCCGGGCGCGUGUGACCAUUUCCGGCAACUUUUCCGCCGGCGCCUUUCACACAGUGUGACCCCCUCACUAUUCCGACCGUCCCGGUACCUUCGAAAUUUUUCCACCACUGUUUCACCACCACUGUU